GUCUAUGGCCAUACCACCCGGAACGCUCUAAAUCUUGUCUGAUCUCAGAAGCUAAGCAGGGUCGGGCCUGGUAGUACUUGGAUGGGAGAAAAUAAUUUCCAUUCAUU
ensembl:rRNA 5S_rRNA 5S ribosomal RNA